AAUAUUCACGCCUACGUCGAAAAAGCAAACUGGCGAGAGUUGCACUCAAAUUUAGGUCGCGUGAUUAGUUUCUUCGUCUACCACAAGGACA
rnacentral:ribozyme from 1 species